AUGAAUGCUGGCGGCGUGCCUAACACAUGCAAGUCGAGCGGCAGCGCGAGGAGUUUACUCCUUGGCGGCGAGCGGCGGACGGCUGAGUAACGCGUGGGAACGUGCCCCAAAGUGAGGAAUAACUGCCCGAAAGGGUAGCUAAUGCCGCAUAUGAUCUUCGGAUUAAAGGAUUUAUCCGCUUUGGGAGCGGCCCGCGUUAGAUUAGGUAGUUGGUAGGGUAAUGGCCUACCAAGCCGACGAUCUAUAGCUGGUCUGAGAGGAUGAUCAGCCAGACUGGGACUGAGACACGGCCCAGACUCCUACGGGAGGCAGCAGUGAGGAAUCUUCCACAAUGGGCGAAAGCCUGAUGGAGCAACGCCGCGUGCAGGAUGAAGGCCUUCGGGUCGUAAACUGCUUUUAUAAGUGAAGAAUUAGACGGUAACUUAUGAAUAAGCACCGGCUAACUACGU
rnacentral:rRNA from 1 species